AACUCUUGAUACUUUCAAAUUCAAAAGAAAAAGAAAAAAAAUACCAUUUCUUUUAAAUGUUAUUUAGAAAAAGUGUACGCACCCACAUUAUACGAUCAUUCGUGGAAAUAUCAGUAAAUUUACGCGAGGAAACCUCACAGAUCGUUAGAUAAGAACCAUGGAGCCUGGCACGUAGGUGAUCGUAAUUUCGUGUGUACAAAAAUGCCAAUUGAACGCAGUUUUUAUCGAGAAUAAAAAAAAAAAUAUAUAAGCGAAAGAGUUAAUUUAAUAUAUUCUAUGAACGAAGCUUUAUAUAAAUGAUCAUAUAUAUAUAUAUAUUCUAUAUAUAUAUAUACAUGUUAGCUAUGCGACGACUUAUCCUAUUAUCCCGACGAGUGUCUUUACGCGAUUACGAUGAUGUACAGCGAUAGCCACGUGUACGAUGUUACACGUGACCUCAUUGUGACUAAUUUCGAACGUUGUACUACAAGAAAUAAACACAUGUGACUUAAUA